rnacentral:rRNA from 1 species
GUAAGGGCGCACGGUGGAUGCCUUGGCACUAGGAGCCGAAGAAGGACGUGACAAACGACGAAAUGCCUCGGGGAGCUGUAAGUAAGCGACGAUCCGUGGAUGUCCGAAUGGGGGAACCCAACAGGUUGAUGCCUGUUACCCAUUUCUGUUAAGGAAAUGAGGAGGAAGACGCAGUGAACUGAAACAUCUAAGUAGCUGCAGGAAGAGAAAGCAAAAGCGAUUGCCUUAGUAGCGGCGAGCGAAGAGGCAGGAGGGCAAACCGAAGAGUUUACUCUUCGGGGUUGUAGGACUGCAAUGUGGACUCAGAAUUUAUAGAAGAAUGGCUUGGGAAAGUCAGCCAAAGAGAGUAAGAGCCUCGUAUUUUAAAUAGAUUCUGUACCUAGCAGUAUCCUGAGUACGGCGGGACACGAGAAAUCCCGUCGGAAUCUGGGAGGACCAUCUCCCAACCCUAAAUACUCCCUAGUGACCGAUAGUGAACCAGUACCGUGAGGGAAAGGUGAAAAGCACCCCGGGAGGGGAGUGAAAUAGAACCUGAAACCGUGUGCCUACAACAAGUUCGAGCCCGUUAAUGGGUGAGAGCGUGCCUUUUGUAGAAUGAACCGGCGAGUUACGUUAUGAUGCGAGGUUAAGUUGAAGAGACGGAGCCGUAGGGAAACCGAGUCUGAAUAGGGCGCUUUAGUAUCAUGACGUAGACCCGAAACCAUGUGACCUACCCAUGAGCAGGUUGAAGGUGCGGUAAAACGCACUGGAGGACCGAACCAGGGCACGUUGAAAAGUGCUUGGAUGACUUGUGGGUAGCGGAGAAAUUCCAAACGAACUUGGAGAUAGCUGGUUCUCUCCGAAAUAGCUUUAGGGCUAGCGUCGACAUAAAGAUUCUUGGAGGUAGAGCACUGUUUGGGUGAGGGGUCCAUCCCGGAUUACCAAUCUCAGAUAAACUCCGAAUGCCAAUGAAUUAUGGUCGGCAGUCAGACUGCGAGUGCUAAGAUCCGUAGUCGAAAGGGAAACAGCCCAGACCACCAGCUAAGGUCCCAAAAUAUAUGUUAAGUGGAAAAGGAUGUGGGGUUGCACAGACAACUAGGAUGUUGGCUUAGAAGCAGCCACCAUUUAAAGAGUGCGUAAUAGCUCACUAGUCGAGUGACCCUGCGCCGAAAAUGUACCGGGGCUAAAACAAUUUACCGAAGCUGUGGAUCCCUUAGGGGAUGGUAGGAGAGCGUUCUAUGUGUGGAGAAGGUGUACCGUGAGGAGCGCUGGAACGCAUAGAAGUGAGAAUGCCGGUAUGAGUAGCGAAAGACAGGUGAGAAUCCUGUCCACCGUAAGACUAAGGUUUCCAGGGGAAGGCUCGUCCGCCCUGGGUUAGUCGGGACCUAAGGAGAGACCGAAGGGUGUAUCCGAUGGCCAACAGGUUGAUAUUCCUGUACUAGAGUAUGAAGUGAUGGAGGGACGCAGUAGGCUAACUAAAGCAGACGAUUGGAAGAGUCUGUCUAAGCAGUGAGGCGUGGUAUGAGUCAAAUGCUUAUACCUAUAACGUUGAGCUGUGAUGGGGAGCGAAGUUUAGUAGCGAAGUUAGUGAUGUCACACUGCCAAGAAAAGCUUCUAGCGAUGUAUCAUACUCUACCCGUACCGCAAACCGACACAGGUAGUCGAGGCGAGUAGCCUCAGGUGAGCGAGAGAACUCUCGUUAAGGAACUCGGCAAAAUGACCCCGUAACUUCGGGAGAAGGGGUGCUGAUUUAGGUCAGCCGCAGUGAAUAGGCCCAAGCAACUGUUUAUCAAAAACACAGCUCUCUGCUAAAUCGUAAGAUGAUGUAUAGGGGGUGACGCCUGCCCGGUGCUGGAAGGUUAAGAGGAGUGCUUAGCGGUAACGCGAAGGUAUGAAUUGAAGCCCCAGUAAACGGCGGCCGUAACUAUAACGGUCCUAAGGUAGCGAAAUUCCUUGUCGGGUAAGUUCCGACCUGCACGAAUGGCGUAAUGAUGGCCAGGCUGUCUCCACCCGAGACUCAGUGAAAUUGAACUCGCUGUGAAGAUGCAGUGUACCCGCGGCAAGACGGAAAGACCCCGUGAACCUUUACUAUAGCUUGACACUGAACAUUGAGCCUUGAUGUGUAGGAUAGGUGGGAGGCUUUGAAGCGUGGACGCCAGUCUGCGUGGAGCCAACCUUGAAAUACCACCCUUUAAUGUUUGAUGUUCUAACGUUGGCCCCUGACCGGGGUUGCGGACAGUGUCUGGUGGGUAGUUUGACUGGGGCGGUCUCCUCCCAAAGCGUAACGGAGGAGCACGAAGGUUAGCUAAUCCUGGUCGGACAUCAGGAGGUUAGUGCAAUGGCAUAAGCUAGCUUGACUGCGAGCGUGACGGCGCGAGCAGGUGCGAAAGCAGGUCAUAGUGAUCCGGUGGUUCUGAAUGGAAGGGCCAUCGCUCAACGGAUAAAAGGUACUCCGGGGAUAACAGGCUGAUACCGCCCAAGAGUUCAUAUCGACGGCGGUGUUUGGCACCUCGAUGUCGGCUCAUCACAUCCUGGGGCUGAAGUAGGUCCCAAGGGUAUGGCUGUUCGCCAUUUAAAGUGGUACGCGAGCUGGGUUUAGAACGUCGUGAGACAGUUCGGUCCCUAUCUGCCGUGGGCGCUGGAGAAUUGAGGGGGGCUGCUCCUAGUACGAGAGGACCGGAGUGGACGCAUCACUGGUGUUCGGGUUGUCAUGCCAAUGGCACUGCCCGGUAGCUAAAUGCGGAAGAGAUAAGUGCUGAAAGCAUCUAAGCACGAAACUUGCCCCGAGAUGAGUUCUCCCUGAGACUUUAAGUCUCCUGAAGGAACGUUAAAGACGAUGACGUUGAUAGGCCGGGUGUGUAAGCGCAGCGAUGCGUUGAGCUAACCGGUACUAAUGAACCGUGAGGCUUAACC